rnacentral:rRNA from 1 species
GAUGAACGCUGGCGGCGUGCCUAAUACAUGCAAGUCGAGCGAACGGACGAGAAGCUUGCUUCUCUGAUGUUAGCGGCGGACGGGUGAGUAACACGUGGAUAACCUACCUAUAAGACUGGGAUAACUUCGGGAAACCGGAGCUAAUACCGGAUAAUAUUUUGAACCGCAUGGUUCAAAAGUGAAAGACGGUCUUGCUGUCACUUAUAGAUUGAUCCGCGCUGCAUUAGCUAGUUGGUAAGGUAACGGCUUACCAAGGCAACGAUGCAUAGCCGACCUGAGAGGGUGAUCGGCCACACUGGAACUGAGACACGGUCCAGACUCCUACGGGAGGCAGCAGUAGGGAAUCUUACGCAAUGGGCGAAAGCCUGACGGAGCAACGCCGCGUGAGUGAUGAAGGUCUUCGGAUCGUAAAACUCUGUUAUUAGGGAAGAACAUAUGUGUAAGUAACUGUGCACAUCUUGACGGUACCUAAUCAGAAAGCCACGGCUAACUACGUG